UACGGAGGGGGCAAGCGUUAUUCGGAUUUACUGGGCGUAAAGGGCGCGUAGGCGGUCGUGACAAGUCACUUGUGAAAUCUCCGGGCUUAACUCGGAACGGUCAAGUGAUACUGUCGGACUAGAGUACAGAAGGGGCAACUGGAAUUCUCGGUGUAGCGGUGAAAUGCGUAGAGAUCGGGAAGAACAUCGGUGGCGAAAGCGCUCUACUGGACGGUGUCUGACACUCAGGGACGAAAGCUAGGGGAGCGAAUGGG
rnacentral:rRNA from 1 species